rnacentral:lncRNA from 1 species
CUGGAGGUUUUUGUGGCUAGUUUUGGUUAGUUCUAGCAAGGAGAGGGUUGGAUUCGUGGCUGGUGGUCCAAGGAGGGGCUUGUUCUUUAUGUUCCUCUUUGUUUUGUUCUUCUUUCAAUCCAUAUCAAGGUGAGUGCGUGACUAUGGCUGAUCUAAGCAUGUUUAACCUUUCUUAUGUGUGUUUGAUUGAUUUGGAUGGCUGGAUUUGUUUUGUGUGGCCAUGUUUGUGUGUUUUGGUUGCUGUUAUUGUAUGUUUGAGUGUUAGGGCUCAUGGCUGGAGCUUUUGAGGUGUUGGAUUCGUUCUCUGGGGAGUUGAGAGGCGAUUUUAGGGUUUCUGCGGGAUCGGUGUCGCUCGACACCAGUCUGGUGUCGCUCGACACCAAAUUUCUAGACAGUUUUUCUGGACAGCGUGUAUUUCGUGUCUUUUUAUGCCUGGUUUGUUUGUUCUGGUUAAUAUGAUACAUGUUAGAUUGGUUUAAUAUGCUUGUGUGUAUAGCCCAGUGGAUGGGAGGAUCGCUUCACUGAGUAUUUGUGAUAAUACUCACGCAUCUCAUUGUAUUUGUGGUGCAGGUAAAGUGUGAUCCGUGGAAUCAUGACGAGGAGAGGAGGAUGAUCUAGGGUCUCGGUUGUUAUGUUUAUGAAUAUGUUAAUUGUUGUUGGAACCUGGUUUAGAGGCAUGAUAGGUUGCUGGUGUAAAUUGUGG